AUUGAACGCUGGCGGCAGGCCUAACACAUGCAAGUCGAGCGAGCGGCGGACGGGUGAGUAAUGUAUGGGGACUGCCCGCUAGAGGGGGAUAACUACUGGAAACGGUAGCUAAUACCGCAUACUAUCGGAUAAGCCAUAUGGGAUUAGCUAGUGGGUGAGGUAAUUGCAUACCAGGGCGACGAGCCCUAGCUGGCCUGAGAGGAUGAUCAGCCACCCUGGGACUGAGACACGGCCCGGACUCCUACGGAGGCAGCAGUGGGGAAUAUUGGACAAUGGGCGCAAGCCGGAUGCAGCCAUGCCGCGUGUAUGAAGAAGGCCCUAGGGUGGUAAGGUUCUUUCGGUAGCGAGGCGUUAACUACAGAAGAAGCACCGGCUAACUCCGUGCCAGCAGCCGCGGUAAUUC
rnacentral:rRNA from 1 species